rnacentral:rRNA from 1 species
CCUAAGGUAGCGAAAUUCCUUGUCGGGUAAGUUCCGACCUGCACGAAUGGCGUAAUGAUGGCCAGGCUGUCUCCACCCGAGACUCAGUGAAAUUGAACUCGCUGUGAAGAUGCAGUGUACCCGCGGCAAGACGGAAAGACCCCGUGAACCUUUACUAUAGCUUGACACUGAACAUUGAGCCUUGAUGUGUAGGAUAGGUGGGAGGCUUUGAAGUGUGGACGCCAGUCUGCAUGGAGCCGACCUUGAAAUACCACCCUUUAAUGUUUGAUGUUCUAACGUUGGCCCGUAAUCCGGGUUGCGGACAGUGUCUGGUGGGUAGUUUGACUGGGGCGGUCUCCUCCUAAAGAGUAACGGAGGAGCACGAAGGUUGGCUAAUCCUGGUCGGACAUCAGGAGGUUAGUGCAAUGGCAUAAGCCAGCUUGACUGCGAGCGUGACGGCGCGAGCAGGUGCGAAAGCAGGUCAUAGUGAUCCGGUGGUUCUGAAUGGAAGGGCCAUCGCUCAACGGAUAAAAGGUACUCCGGGGAUAACAGGCUGAUACCGCCCAAGAGUUCAUAUCGACGGCGGUGUUUGGCACCUCGAUGUCGGCUCAUCACAUCCUGGGGCUGAAGUAGGUCCCAAGGGUAUGGCUGUUCGCCAUUUAAAGUGGUACGCGAGCUGGGUUUAGAACGUCGUGAGACAGUUCGGUCCCUAUCUGCCGUGGGCGCUGGAGAACUGAGGGGGGCUGCUCCUAGUACGAGAGGACCGGAGUGGACGCAUCACUGGUGUUCGGGUUGUCAUGCCAAUGGCACUGCCCGGUAGCUAAAUGCGGAAGAGAUAAGUGCUGAAAGCAUCUAAGCACGAAACUUGCCCCGAGAUGAGUUCUCCCUGACUCCUUGAGGGUCCUGAAGGAACGUUGAAGACGACGACGUUGAUAGGCCGGGUGUGUAAGCGCAGCGAUGCGUUGAGCUAACCGGUACUAAUGAACCGUGAGGCUUAACCUU